AGUUUAAUGACCUUUUCAAGAAGUCCCUGCUACGUUUGGAGACCACAAAAGAAAAUGUGGACUAUAUGCUUCCAGAGAUAGUAGGUUUAGAGGGGAUGAAGGGGGGAGUUACUUAAAAUAUUAGUGAAUAUGAUUCUUAAUGACAUGAUUUUAGAAAUAUAAGAAUUCUCAAAAGCCUGUUCUCAUUAAUCAAGCUAAUAUAAAAUGUAUAACACAGACAAGACAGACAAAAUGCUGAAUUACAACUCCUUGAUUAUUUGAUUAUGUUUCCUUUAUUUUAGGUCCUGACACUUAAUGAUCUUAUAACGUUAAUCACUUCUAUUUUGAACCAACUUGGGGGCUUCAUUGGGAAAUAAUUCUCUCACAACUAUGUCAGAAGUUAUAUA